rnacentral:rRNA from 1 species
UUAGAAUAAAAGUAGCUAUGUUCUUCAUAACUCAAAGAAUUUGGCAGUUAAUAAAAAUUUCAGAGGAACCUGUAUUUUAAUUGAUAAACCACGAUAGUUUUUACCUUAAUUAUAUUUGUAUAUCUCUAUAUAGUAGAUUGUUUUAUUAGAAUAAAUUUUCUUUAUAGAUGUGUAUCUUAAAUGUUAGGUCAAGGUGCAGUUUUCUUUAGGUUUGUAUGGGUUACUUUACUUGUAUUAUUUAUUAAGCUUAGUUUUUUAAAUUUAUAUUUUAAUAGGAUUUGAUAGUAAUUAAAAUUAAUUUAUUUUUUUGAAUAUU